rnacentral:rRNA from 1 species
CCUACGGGAGGCAGCAGUGAGGAAUAUUGGUCAAUGGACGAGAGUCUGAACCAGCCAAGUCGCGUGAAGGAUGACUGCCCUAUGGGUUGUAAACUUCUUUUAUAUGGGAAUAAAACGUUCCACGUGUGGGAUUUUGUAUGUACCCUAUGAAUAAGGAUCGGCUACUCCGUGCCAGCAGCCGCGGUAAUACGGGGGAUGCGAGCGUUAUCCGGAUUUAUUGGGUUUAAAGGGAGCGUAGGUGGAUUGUUAAGUCAGUUGUGAAAGUUUGCGGCUCAACCGUAAAAUUGCAGUUGAAACUGGCAGUCUUGAGUACAGUAGAGGUAGGCGGAAUUCGUGGUGUAGCGGUGAAAUGCUUAGAUAUCACGAAGAACUCCGAUUGCGAAGGCAGUUCACUGGACUGCAACUGACACUGAGGCUCGAAAGUGUGGGUAUCAAACAGGAUUAGAUACCCCUGUAGUC